GGGAUAACACUUGGAAACAGGUGCUAAUACCGUAUAACACUAUUUUCCGCAUGGAAGAAAGUUGAAAGGCGCUUUUGCGCCACUGAUGGAUGGACCCGCGGUGCAUUAGCUAGUUGGUGAGGUAACGGCUCACCAAGGCCACGAUGCAUAGCCGACCUGGGAGGGUGAUCGGCCACACUGGGACUGAGACACGGCCCAGACUCCUACGGGAGGCAGCAGUAGGGAAUCUUCGGCAAUGGACGAAAGUCUGACCGAGCAACGCCGCGUGAGUGAAGAAGGUUUUCGGAUCGUAAAACUCUGUUGUUAGAGAAGAACAAGGAUGAGAGUAAAACGUUCAUCCCUUGACGGUAUCUAACCAGAAAGCCACGGCUAACUACGUGCCAGCAGCCGCGGUAAUACGUAGGUGGCAAGCGUUGUCCGGAUUUAUUGGGCGUAAAGCGAGCGCAGGCGGUUUCUUAAGUCUGAUGUGAAAGCCCCCGGCUCAACCGGGGAGGGUCAUUGGAAACUGGGAGACUUGAGUGCAGAAGAGGAGAGUGGAAUUCCAUGUGUAGCGGUGAAAUGCGUAGAUAUAUGGAGGAACACCAGUGGCGAAGGCGGCUCUCUGGUCUGUAACUGACGCUGAGGCUCGAAAGCGUGGGGAGCGAACAGGAUUAGAUACCCUGGUAGUCCACGCCGUAAACGAUGAGUGCUAAGUGUUGGAGGGUUUCCGCCCUUCAGUGCUGCAGCA
rnacentral:rRNA from 1 species